rnacentral:lncRNA from 1 species
GGUACUCCGGUCCAGAGACUUUCUUUCUAUUUUGCUAAAGCUUUAGAGGAAAGGAUUCAUCGAUCAACUGGGAGAUACACAUGUACGGAUGAAGAUCGCCACCUCAAAUAUAUAAAAACUAAGUCAUUGGGUACCAACGCUACCUCCUUGACCUGCCACCAACUAAUUCCCUUCAAUCAAGUGAUGCAAUUUGCAGCAGUUCAAACAAUUGUUGAAAACGUCAAAAGUGCGAAAAAGAUCCAUUUGAUUGAUUUUAAUAUCAGAAGUGGAAUUCAGUGGAUAGUCUUGAUACAAGCUCUUGCAGAAAAAGGUGACAGUCCAAUUGAGCUUCUCAAAAUAACUGCAGUUGGAAGCACAGAGAAAGAGAACUAUGAAGUAACAGGCAACACAUUACACAGUUUCGCCAAGUCCUUAGGUCUGCCAUUUUCAUUUGAUAUAGUUUUUGUCUCGGACAUGAAAGAUUUCAAGAAAGAAUCAAUCAACAUUGAAACAGAUGAAACUGUCGCUGUUUAUCUGAACUUUAUAUUGAGGACAAUGAUACCAAGACCAGAUUGUUUGGAUAAUUUGAUGAAAGUAGUCAGAAGUAUUAGACCAACAGUUAUUGUUGUUGGUGAAGUCGAAGCAAACCAUAAUUCACCAUCAUUUUUAAACCGCUUUAUUGAGACACUUUUCUUUUACAGUGCAUUUUUUGAUUGCUUUGAGGACUGCAUGGAUCGAGACAGUCCAUGUCGAACAACGAUUGAAGAGGUGUAUUUUGGUGAAGGUGUUCGGAACAUCGUGGCAGCUGAAGGUGAGGAUAGGUUCACCAGGAAUGUGAAGCUUGAAGUAUGGAGAGCAUUCUUUGAAAGGUUUGGUAUGAUGGAAGAAGAGCUUAGUGAAUCAUCUUGGUAUCAAGCUGAUCUGAUUCUCAAGCAAUUUGCCCAAAGCAGUUCUUGUGAUCUUCACAAGGAUGGGAAAGGCCUCAUUAUUGGAUGGAAGGGAACUCCAAUUCAUUCUCUAUCCAUUUGGAAGUUCUUGUAAGAAAAAAAUUUGCCUUGUUGAGGAAACAGAUACGAUGCUUAAUUGGUCAGUUCAUUUGUACACCAUCAGCCUCUGUAGCUGGUAUGACCAUAAGGCAUCUCCAAGCUACAUAAAUCUAGAUUUUUGCACUAAAACUCAUAUUUUUGGGAUAGAUGGCUCAUGUUACCUGCUGUCCCCUUCCUCCUUUGUUUUGAACACCUUGUGAAUAAAGAACGUGCAGAAGAAACGGAGGUCCUUAUAUAGAGUCGCAUACUUUAAGCAGUGUGGGAGACUGGGUUGGUUAAUUACUACUCAUAUCCUUAAAUCAAGAAUGUUAACCACAGAAUUACAAUACUACUAGACACCUACAAUUAGCCCUGAAAAAAACGUAGAGAAAAUUUUGAAGUCCUAUGGUGCCAAAAGGUAUUAACCUCAUUGCAAAUGUCAUGCUUCUGGCUUAUCCUUUUACCAACGAACCUAAUUUUUCAUGCACGCACCCCCCCCCUCUUUUUCCCAAAUGAAUUGAGUUAGUGAACUGACUGGACAGAUUUACUGGUUGGUGACGAAUGCCUAAAUGAAAAAGGUUGGUAAUAUUACUGAAUUUCAUUCUAAAUCUGGUUGGAAGCUAAAGUCCUGGAGGAAUUUGAGUGAUUGGGAGAGAAGAAUUUUGUCAGUUGCUUCAACAAUUGGGAUCAGUUUAAAUUGAUCAGGGUGUACAUCCUGAUUUGCAGGCAAGUAAAGACAAGAAAAUUUUCUAAUUAAGAAUUGCUACAGUAUGUUGGAAAAGCAGUCAGGUCAGGGGGAUAAUUCUUCACCUAGAAGUAUAUGGAAGACAAAAGUUCCUGUUAAAGUAGCAUGUUUUGGAUGGGUUGCAACAUGGGAGCAUGCUUAACUCAAAAUAACCUACAGAAGAGAGGUUUUGACCCAUGAAGUAGAUGCUACCCAUGUCAAGAAGACCAGGUUCAUCACCUUUUUCUUUUGAUGGGUAAAUAACAUAUUUUAUAUUAUAUUUUCACUAAGCCCAACAGGCAUGAUUACAAGUUGUGCAAAUCAGCGCAGUUGAGCACCUUUUUCUCCACUGCAGAUUCUCUAGAGAAUGUCGGGAGUUAUCCUAAAUCUUCAUGGUAUUACAUGAGUGAUUCCUCAGAAUGUGAAAAGUUUACUAAAAUGAUGGCAGCAGCAGGUGAUACCAAAAGGGAUAAAGCAGAGAACUAUUCUAUUGAGCAUCUUGUGGACGAUAUGGCUGGAGCUGAAGAUUGCUUUGAAGGACGGAGAAUUCACAUUUCUAGAACUAAGAAUAUAUGUUUACAAAAAUUUUCUGGUGUAGAAGUAGCUUAAUGGAUAGUUUGAACCAAUAUAUGGUUUCUCGGAUUUGCUAGGAAGAAGAGUGUGUGGUAGGCUGCUUUUCCUUCUAUGUUCUUUUUGUUUCUUUUCUUGUACCAUCUUGAUACCAUUUUAAUAAAAUCUUUACCUUAUCGAAAAAACGAAAGGUAACCAUGACAUCCAAAAUAUAAGUUCUUUAUUUAAAUUUUAGAGAAAAAACCUUGAGGAUGGCCUGGUUAUUUUGUGCACAGGUUCUUGCCUUUUUAUUUAUUUGGUGAGAUGUCCAUUUACUUGUCUGCAAUUCACCUAUCUGUAUUGUUAUCCAAUUGUUAUUCGCAUAACCUGUCACCAUCACGAUUUAGAAAAUGACUACCUAGAAAAAGAACAGUAUGUCCAACAGUACUAGGCUGAAUUUCUUAAGGAGGGUUAUAAAUCACAACAUAAACCACAUUGUCUUUAGUGGCCAUGUCUUGUUUUAUCUCUUGUCCUUCUAUUCUUAUUAAAACUCUAGAAAACCAGCAAUAUUAAACAUAAAGAUUAACAAUAUAUACAAUUGCAUUUUCCUAGAUGAUAAUAACUCUUUGCUUUUGCCAAUUCUUUUAGAGGUUUACGUCAUGUCCCAUCGCCAGCCAGUUGCACAGCUUUAAUUCGUAAUUAUAUACUUGAGGCUUGAUGAAAAAUCAAUAAUAUUACCUACUGCAAACUUUAGCGGAUAAGGAGAUGCUUGCAAAUUACUCUCAGUUCUGAUAUGUCCAAUCCCUUGUUCCAUCUAGCAUCAUUCACAUCCAACCAAAUCCCAGAGAGUGAUGGUUCUCUCAGAGGUUGUAGAGUAAAUAUUGCUAAGAGCGACAAUCAUUUAUCAGUUAUGGAGGAUUCUAAAGACAUCCAGAACUUCUAUACCAACUACGGGUUCUAUCAAGGAUAUGCAGUCAAUCAACAAGAACAAGAAAUGAAUAAACAACAACAAGAAAUGAAUGUAUAUGCUGCCCAUUCUGCAGAUCAAUUAAGUCAAGGAGAAGUGAAGCUCAAUAGUCUAGAAACAGGAAGCAAUGUGGGCGAGGUACCUUUUUUAUCUCUAGCUCCUUUUGAAUUGCUGAGGAACAAUCCAAGCAAGCACAAGAAUACUGAAGGAGAUAAAGCUAGAGAUGUGAAUGGCGGAGCCAACGUGCACCAGAAGCUCUCAGCUAUGC